CCUCCCACCAGACUGAAUUUACCAAGUUCCUGGACCUCCAGCUGCCAUUACUGCUCCUUAACACACUUUUCUGUCUUAUUUCAGGUUGGUGGACUGCAGUUUGUCGGAGAUCAGCUGUAACGCUCUGGGCUCAGCUCUGAGGAGGAAACCAUUCAAUCUUAAAGAACUUGACCUGAGCUGGAACAAGAGGCUGCAGGAUUCAGGAGUUCGCCAUCUGUGUGGUUUUCUGGAGAGUCCAGACUGCAGACUGCAGACUCUGAGAUUGAAGAACUGCAGGUUUACACAAACCAGCUGUGCUGAUCUAAUCUCAGCUCUGAAGUCCAACACAUCCCACUUGAUCGAACUGGACCUGAGUCACAACAACCUGCAUUAUUUAGAUGUUCAGCAGCUCCAGGAUCUGGUGGAGAGUCCAAACUUCAAACUGCAGACUUUGAGGUGGUAGAAGUGAUGAGUCUGAUGUUCCUCUUGGGGAAGCAGAGAGGAGUAUCAUCAUCAGCAGCUUGUCUGCAGAGAUGUUGUUCCUGGAGGUGGAGAGCAGAGUGAUGGAGGAAUCAGAGGAAGUGGAGAUGAGUGUCAGAGAUGCAGCAUGAACUGAUCUGAGAUCAGCUCCACUGUCUCUCUCAGCAUCAAGUGGACAGUUAUUGUGCUGCAACUCCCCCGGUGGACUGAUGGAGAACUGCACUUUAUCUUCUCGUUCUAACUUGAAGUGUUGAUCUGAAACAUCAGUUGGAUUCAGAUGUUCAGCAGCUCCAGGAUCUGGAGAAACAAAGACUUGCAUACAAACAGAUUCUUUUCUAGAUCAUCGCUUUCUUCUUUCAUCUACAUUCGAGAUAAACAAAUGUGAGUUUGUUUGUAAACCAAUUAAGGAUCAUUGAUCAGACUGAACUUUCUGUCCAGAUCUUUAAACAUUUUCAAAGACUACCUCCAGCAGCUUGCUUAAGACAAGAAUGGAACCAAAACUUAACAAAACUCAGGACCUCAACACUCAGAUGUCUUUAUGCUUUUCUGAGAAAAAGAGGAGACCAUGGUAAUUGGGCUCCUGUCUACUUUGAGACCUGGAGCAGAAAUCCCAUCUAAAUUCAGUUAGUGAACAAAAGUCUCUCAUUUGAAUCAUUUCAUAUCAUCUCUGUUCUGUUGAUGAUCAAAAACAAUUGACUCAUGCAGUUUGAAAGACUCACAGUUUUGGUUUAAUUGAUGUUGUCUACAAUUUUAUGACUGAACUUCCUUUUUCUUUUAUGUUUUCUGGGCAAAAACUCUUGGGGUGUCAGCGUUUUAGGUGUAGUUUUUAAAGAAGUUUCUUCUAAAUCCAGUAGAAUCUGAUCAUUUUCUAGAAAGUCUGAAAAUAGUAGAAACUUUCUGAGCAUAAAGCCUGUUUUCUCCAGAGGACAUGAAUGAACAGAGUGGAUGUUAGUGAGGAAUGACAGAGAAUCACUUUGAUGCAGCUGCUGCAACAACACUAACUGCAUUGAAGCAGGAGGGAGAAGGGAGACACCUGCUGGCUGUUUCCAGAACUGCAUCUUAGUGUCUAAAGGUUCAAACUGAAAGCUGUCUGUCAAAUUCCUGCAGCCUGUUUGGAUCUAAUAAAUGCUCUUUUGAAUCAA